rnacentral:rRNA from 1 species
AAUAGAUACCCGGGUAGUCCACGCCGUAAACGAUGUCUACUAGCUGUUCGUGGUCUUGUACUGUGAGUAGCGCAGCUAACGCACUAAGUAGACCGCCUGGGGAGUACGGUCGCAAGAUUAAAACUCAAAUGAAUUGACGGGGGCCCGCACAAGCGGUGGAGCAUGUGGUUUAAUUCGACGCAACGCGAAGAACCUUACCUACUCUUGACAUCUAGCGAAGAUUGCAGAGAUGCAGUUGUGCCUUCGGGAACGCUAAGACAGGUGCUGCAUGGCUGUCGUCAGCUCGUGUUGUGAAAUGUUGGGUUAAGUCCCGCAACGAGCGCAACCCUUAUCCUUAGUUGCCAGCACGUAAUGGUGGGAACUCUAGGGAGACUGCCGGUGAUAAACCGGAGGAAGGUGGGGACGACGUCAAGUCAUCAUGGCCCUUACGAGUAGGGCUACACACGUGCUACAAUGGUACGUACAGAGGGAGGCAAGCUGGCGACAGUGAGCGGAUCUCUUAAAGCGUAUCGUAGUCCGG